rnacentral:rRNA from 13 species
UCCAGGAAAAAAGCAUUAAUGCAAGACCGUACCCGAAACCGACACAGGUGGACGAGUCGAGUAGACUCAGGCGUUGAGUGAACCAUAUUGAAGGAACUCGGCAAAAUAAUCCCGUAACUUAGGAAGAAGGGAUACCGAAAGGUGACACAAAAAUGGGGGUGACGACUUUUUACUAAAAAAUUAGGACUCUGCAAAAUGGUAACAUGCUGUAUAGGGUCUGACGUCUGCCCGGUGCUAGAAGUCUAAAAGGCGCAUUGCAAGAUGCAAAUGGAAAGCCUAGUAAACGGCGGUUGUAACUAUAACAAUCAUAAAGUAGCGAAAUUCAUUGCCAGCUAAUUCCUGGCCUGCAUGAAAGACGUAACGAUUGCCCCACUGUCUCCAGUAUGGACUCAGUGAAAUUGAAUUCUCCGUGCAGAUGCGGAGUACGUGCCCCAAGACGAGAAGACCCUGUGCAUCUUUACUGUACAUUUGCAUUGACAAAACGAUGAGCAUGCGUAGGAUAGGUGGGAGUACAUACAUCCUUGAAAUACCACCCUUGCCAUGGGUUUUGUCUUACACCGAAUUUGGUGCACAAUGCAUGUGAGGCAGUUUGACUGGGGCGGUCGCCUCCUAAAAGGUAACGGAGGCGUGCGAAGGUAAACUCAAUGCAAGACGGAAACUUGCUGAAGAGCGUAAUGGUAUAUGUUUGCCUGACUGUAAGAUGUACACAUCAAACAGAGACGAAAGUCGGCCAUAAUGAUCCACAAGUGCCGUGUGGAAGGGCUUGUGCUUAACGAAUCAAAGAUACGCCAGGGAUAACAGGCUGAUAAUUCCCAAGAGUCCUUAUCGACGGAAUUGUUUGGCACCUCGAUGUUGACUGAUCAUAUCCUGGGGCUGAAGAAGGUCCCAAGGGUUCGGCUGUUCGCCGAAUAAAAUGGUACCUGAGUUGAGUUUAGAACGUCGUGAGACAGUUUGGAUUCUACCUGGGGUGCGCGUAAAAGAAUUGUGAAAACCACGUCCUUGUACGAGAGGACCGGACGUGUACAACCACUGGUCGAGUAAUUGUUUUGCCGAAAGCAUUGUUACCAGGCUACGUUGUGAAAGGAAAAGAACUGAAAGCAUCUCAAGUUCGAAACUUUUUUCGAGACAAAUUCUUUAAGAUGUCGUGAAAGACUAUCACGUUAAUAGCCGAGCUGU